rnacentral:rRNA from 1 species
UGCGUAGGCGGAUUAAUAAGUCAGUGGUGAAAUCUUUCGGCUCAACCGAGAAACUGCCAUUGAUACUGUUAAUCUUGAGUUCGGUUGAGGUAGGCGGAAUGUGUAAUGUAGCGGUGAAAUGCUUAGAUAUUACACAGAACACCAAUUGCGUAGGCAGCUUACUAGACCGACACUGACGCUGAGGCAUGAAAGCGUGGGGAGCGAACAGGAUUAGAUACCCUGGUAGUCC